CAGAGUUUGAUCCUGGCUCAGAUUGAACGCUGGCGGCAGGCCUAACACAUGCAAGUCGAGCGGAUGAAGGGAGCUUGCUCCUGGAUUCAGCGGCGGACGGGUGAGUAAUGCCUAGGAAUCUGCCUGGUAGUGGGGGAUAACGUCCGGAAACGGGCGCUAAUACCGCAUACGUCCUGAGGGAGAAAGUGGGGGAUCUUCAGACCUCACGCUAUCAGAUGAGCCUAGGUCGGAUUAGCUAGUUGGUGGGGUAAAGGCCUACCAAGGCGACGAUCCGUAACUGGUCUGAGAGGAUGAUCAGUCACACUGGAACUGAGACACGGUCCAGACUCCUACGGGAGGCAGCAGUGGGGAAUAUUGGACAAUGGGCGAAAGCCUGAUCCAGCCAUGCCGCGUGUGUGAAGAAGGUCUUCGGAUUGUAAAGCACUUUAAGUUGGGAGGAAGGGCAGUAAGUUAAUACCUUGCUGUUUUGACGUUACCAACAGAAUAAGCACCGGCUAAC
rnacentral:rRNA from 1 species